CUCUUUCUUUCUCUCAUCACAAAUCGAUCACCACCCCACCGACGAAUAAAAGUCAAGAGCUGAAGAGCACCACUUGAUCGGAGGAAUUGCUCUGACCUCACAAUUGAUUGAAUCUCACAUGGCAACUCCUAGCACCAUUAACGUCGGCUCCUCUCUGAAAGGCGGUAACGCUGAAUCGGGUUCAGGACCGGCCAAUUCGUCCAAGGGUUGGUGCUGCUGCUCUCCGACGACACACAGUGGCUCUUUCAGGUGCAAGUUUCAUCGGAACCUGUCUUCAACUUGGAUGAGACGCACCAAAUCCGUGUCCGGAAAUAAUUCUUCUCCGUCCAUCUCGCCGAAGUCCGUUGAGUCUACGUAGUUUCAGUACCUGGGAAUUCGUCACCCCAUUUAUGUAAGGCCCUAUAUAUGUUAUGUCAGUAGUGUUGCUUUUGUACAAAAUUUUAAAGGUAACUAUAACCAGUUGAUUGUCUAUUUUUCUUUUCCUUCUUUUGAUUAAGUGUGAGGUAUCAGAUAUCUCUCUUUCUAGUUUCGUUGGGCCUGAGAUGGGGUAAUUAAGGUCUCCUUCCAGUUUACAAAAAUCAAAAUCCAAAGCAAACCCAGAAAGAAUUUGUUCUGUUAGAAAAGAAUAUCGAUCUCCUUGGCUCUGAAGUCUGAACCUUUGUAGUUAGCUGAAAGGACAACUAUAUAUCAUCGUAUGAAUUAAAUAUGUUUGUGAUCAGAUGCUGUUGGGGAACUGGUUAUUCCAUUAAUGGGUUUUUGAUGGAAAUAAAUUAAUCGCUUUUAGUUUCAUUCA